GGAACGAAUACGGCCGCGUCAGAAGCAGGAGUCGGUGCCGGAGCUUCAGCUGCUGCUACAUUCUGAACCGCCGACAUGGCCAAGACCAUGAGGAUCACAACGGCGAAGAGUCUCAUCUUCAAUGCCUCCAUUUUUUGGUGUAGAGAAAGUGAGAAUUAAAAAACCUAACCCUCAUGUGAGA